UAUUUUUUUUCAGGCUCUACUCAAAUUUCAAUGUUCUUCCAUUUCCAGAAUCCUCAUAAUCACUGCUGAUCUACAAAGAUUUUCAGGAGACCAUAAAUCACCCUAAACAGCCCAAGGCUGUGGGAGUUCUUUUCUUUGGCUUGGAAUCUUCCAAGGCAGCUCAUGAAAUCUGAUGAUGUGGAGACAGAAUAACACCGCAGCCCGGUCAUCCUGCCCAGGAGGCUUGGAAAACGUCCUGCUGGCCAGAGACAGCCCUGGAGACUUGAAUCCCAACCUCCUGCUCUGCAGUGAGCAGCCUGGCCCAGACUCCCGGGUGUUGGACCUUGAGUACCUGCCCUUCUACAGAACCUCCCACAUCUGUGUCUGCCCAGCAGCUCACAUCUGCACAGAAAGAGAAAAAAGCUCUGAUGAAGGCCAGGCUAACACUAAGCAGGAUGAGCAAGGCAUCCUGCCAAGUUUGGAGCUGAGAAACAGCACAAUUUCUGCCACCAGCAAGGAGGAGCCCCCAGCAGAGGAGCUCCUGGGAGCCAGCAGCUCUGCCCUCUGCCCGCCCAUGGCCUCCUUCCCCAGCGAGCUCCAAAACCUGAGCCAGCCCUGCCCCUGCUCUGAGUACCUUCCUUACUACAGGACAGAGGGAAGGAUUUGCACUGGCACACUUCAAACAAAAGGGUCCUUCACCAGGACAGAAGGUCUGGAGACCAAAGAGGGAGGACAAAGGGAAGGAUCAGGUGUUUGGAAUGUCCGUGGCAGCUGCUUGGUGUGCUGAGAAGAAAGUAAAGUGGGUUUGUGAAUGCAGAUGUGGAGAGAAACUCUGGAAACCUGUGACAACAUGAAAAUCUGCAUGAAUUUAAAUAAAAUGAAAAUAUUCCUUCUCUCAAAAAACCUCCCAAGUGAUAUCCCAGACUGUGUAAUGGAAGCAGAAAGAAGCAGAGCAGGAGCUUGGGAAAUCCAAUAAAAUUUCUCUAGAUGUGAGGAAGAGAACUGUGCUUCUCUGUAGCUAAUCCCAAAGGCGAGAUACUCACUCAAGGGAUGUGCAGCUACGGGAA